rnacentral:lncRNA from 12 species
UCCUACAAAGUGGAGGGCCUGAGGCUCUAGGGGAGGAGGCUGGGGAGGGAGAGUAAGUCAUAUGGUAGGGCACUCUUCCACAGCAUCCAAGAAGUUCAGGUAAAAGGGAAGCAGGCCAUGUGUUUAGACAAGGAGAGAUUCCCGGUAAGACGCUGAAUGGGACAGCAAGUUCACUCCCAGGAGUGAACAGACCUGCUGCAUGCCUAACUCAGGCAAGGGGCUGACGGUAAAGUGGGCCCUGCCCUCAGGAGCUCCCUGAGGUCCAGGGCAGAACUAUAUGUCUAUCUACAUUUUCCAUAGAGCUGGAAUAGAGUAUAAAUACUAUUUUUGAGAAAGAGCUCUCUCCUUGCUUGGGGCCUCAGCUCCUGAGAGCCUCGUGUAUUCGCCACAACCUUGAAGGCCUGCUUCUAAACUCUUGCCCUUGUUCCCCUUUUAUAGGUAUGGACUAGUCAUCUUGGGCUAAAGGCUAUGCAGUCUGUACAUGCUGGAACCACCUUCCGACCUAAGUCUGUUACCCAGACUCUGUCCCUCCUGGAGGAAAGCACAAAGUGUCCAGCGAAGCCUGCCCUGGACUUCCAUCACUGACUCCGGUUCUCCCUCACUGUGAGCCCAGCUGCUCGCCAGGGACACCAGUUCUGGAGGCCCACCUGCCUGA